UUUUCAAAAGGUCCUAUUAGAGUUAUUAUAAUUACACGGAGGUAUUUCGCCCUCGUAAGCAGCAGUCCUUGAGAUAUUUACUCUGGCUAGCUUCCCACGAUAUGCAUGCCGCACUCGCACCUGUUUAAGCUUUUCCUGGACGCUAGAGCUAUACUAUGUCCGCACAACCUUGAGCGAUCGGAAAGCACGUUUUCUGCGCAUGGCCGGCUAAGAAGGGAGGCUUUGUUCCGGCCACAAAGCUAUCCAUGUCUCAGUAAGGUGCCUGGCUGUGGUCUCGUGCGGGGGCUGUCCUCUCGGUAGUGGUAUAUCUCUAGGGAGGAUCAGAGGGGGCGACUGGCUGUGGACUGGUUCCAGCUUCCACAAGACUUCCAAGUUUCAUUAGGAGAUUCUUCUAUGUAUCAUGCUGAGCUGUCAUUUAGCGAAAAAUAAAAAGCUAAGCAACUCA